GGGGGGGUGGCUCAGUGGUAGAGCGCUUGCCUAGCAUGCCUGAGGCCCUGGGUUUGAUUCCCCAGCACCACAA
rnacentral:tRNA from 1 species